AUUAUAUGCUCCUAAGCCACCUCAUUUGGUUUGGUAUAAAGGGCAGAGGUAUGUGUGUGCUCCAGAUGCUAAGGAGGAUCCUCCUAAAAUCAUAUCUGGAAGUGAGAUAUCUUUCUUCAAAAAUGGGGUUUGUCAAGGCAUUGCUUUCAAGGAUUUGUUUGGUGGUCGUUACUACCCUGCUGCUUCAAUGUAUACCCUUCCAAAUCAACCAAAUUGUGUGGUCAAGUUUAACUUCGGCCCAGACUUUGAAUUAUUUCCAGAGGAUUUUGGUGGGCGUCCAAUUCCUAGGCCCAUGUUUGAAGUUCCUUAUCAUGGGUUUGACAACCGAAUUGAAAACAGCACGAUGAAUGAGAACAAACAUUAGUAAUCUUAUUAUCAGCGGAGUGGAAGGUCAAUCCAAGCUUAAAAUUCUAUUUGUAAUUUUAGUUACUGUUAAAUUAGAAGUGACAGAUGAAUUAAUUUGAUUUGUGAACUCAGAUUUUCUUUGAAAGAGAAAAAAAAAGCUUAUUUUCUCUGUUUGCAAUGUAACUUUGGUGCGUGUGCCUGAUGACCUCUCAAUACUAUUUCUUGAUUUUGAUUUCUGGUAUUUAUUGAUGAGAGUGUGAGACACUUAGCUAAUUGAUAUCCAUUUUUAUACU
rnacentral:misc_RNA from 1 species